rnacentral:tRNA from 1 species
UCAGUGGUGGUAGAGUGGUUAAGACACUGCACUCCCAAUGCAGGGAGCCUGGGUUCGAUUCCUGGUCAGGGAA